CUGCUGCCACCAUCUCCUCGAAGAAGGGCAGAGAUGCUGUUUGGGCUCUGGAGUGUAGCUCUGCUCCUGAUCUGUGACUUCAUGUAAAACUGCAAAGCCGAAGAUUCUCAUAGCAGUCCAAAAGAAACUGUCCAGGUUUUCCUACUGGAGUAAAUUGUCGUCUGCUCUGGCUGAUGAGUAUGUGGGGUUGAAAAGGAUAGAGUGGAAGUAAAAUUUUGUGAAUCAUCAAUCGAAUUGCAGAAGAUGAUGCUAGCCAUGACUCAGGACACUGGUCAGAGUUUGACAUAAUAAAAAUUUUACACUGAAGCUCCUCUGUCCGGAUGGGUACCUGCUUUACCUGGUCAGCUGCCUCUGGUUUCAGUGUUGAAGUGAUCUCCCCUGGGAACUCUUCUACCACCACUACCAUUAUCAUCAUCAUUAUAAGAGUCAGAAUUAUGUGCCACUAUUUCAAAGAACAUUUUUUAGUAUUAACACAUUUAAACAACACCACAAUGUUGCUCCUCCAUGACUUCUACCUCCCAAAUCACCUGGUUAUGCCUUUUUUGGCCCCUAUGAUGACUCCAAUCAGAGCACAUUUCACAGUGAAUGAAAAUCACCUAUUUAUUGCUAGUGUCCUCAUUGGACUCAAAGAUCCUUAAGAUCAGAAGUUUUCGCUUAUCACUUCAUCCCCCAAAACAAAUACAGUGCCAGGAAUAUAGCCGACAUUCAUCUGCUAAGUGAAUGAAUGCCAAUGCCCAUAAUGCACUCUACAGAAUAUCAUUUUAAACAUAUUUAAAGAGAUAGGUAUAAACAUAACUAAAAAUUACAAAAUCUAAAUGAUAAAAAAUAGCAUAUGCUCUUGAGGACCACAAAAGUAGAUUUAGAACAAGUAGAAAAUCAUGUCAUGUUUUUAGACAAAAUGACUCUCAUUUCAAAUGUGUCGAUUUUCCCUGUUAAUUUAUAAUUACAUGAUUUCAAUAAAAAAACAAUCACUGACCCUCCCUCCCCUCCUUUGGAACUAAAUAAGUCAGCCGUAAAGAUCUUUUGGAAGAAUAAUAAGUAAGAAGAGACAUGAAAGAUUGGAUAAAAAUAGCAA